rnacentral:tRNA from 1 species
GCGUCAGUGGUCUAGCGGUUAUGAUAUCUGCCUUCCAAGCAGAUGAUCCGGGUUCGACUCCCGGCUGACGCA